UUCAAAAGGAUUUUUGGUAUUCAGUGUGUAAACCACACUUCAAUGGUCAGUGUGGUAAUAAAGUGUGAACAUACUCAACAUCAACUUACUGUGAUGCUGGUUUCAGUGUUCGUGAUAAAGAGUCGUUACAUUUGCUCUGUUCUUCAAUUGUUUCCAUCAAUCUGCCAGCAGGGGGAGAGCAGGAAAUGCAGAAACGUCUGAUGUGACGACAAAGGAAGAAAAAGCCGUGGAGCUCCACUACACCACAACUAAAAGUGGAAGACCUGCCCAUGAACCAACGCCUCCUGACAGAGACAGCGAGGACAAAGAUGAGCCGGACUAUGAAAAUGAACGCUACACUGAUGAUCCUGUGUAUGGCAACAUGGAGGUAAGUGCAGCCUCAUUCAGUCAUUAUGUCCACGCACUAAAUGUAAAACUGAACUCAUCAUGUUUCCUACACAGAAAGACUUUGAUGACACCAUAUAUGCCAACACGUAGCAUCACUCGCUUCACUGGAGGAGCAGCUGCCCGUUGUCUGACUGAUGUGAGAAGUUUGUUGUUUAGUUUUAGAAUGAAAGCAUAUGUUUUGGUAUAGUUCCUCUUCUCUUUCCUGUUUUUUUAAUAAGUGCAAGAUACUGUAGAUAGAAGAUAUGUGUUUUAUAUAACCAUAUCAUAGUGAUAUAACUGCAUCUUAUAAUUUUAUAAACCAGAUGGGAUUUAGUUAAUGCAGCAUCUCAAGGACAUCAAGGAUGGGAACAUCUGGUGAACUUUAAGAUAAAACCCACCAUUCUCGUCUUUCUUCUUCUUCAUAUUAUUAUUAUUAUCUUAUUAAAUAUUACAAAUCCCCAAACUUUUCUUUUAUCUGGGCAUUAAUCAAACCAAAGCUCCAGCUAAUAAUUCUCCUUUUUCUCAAACAGCUGACUAACAAUGCAGAGCUCAAACAACAACCGCAUACAUAGAAAUCGUGAGGUUUCUGGUAAGUGGUGGUGAGCGUAGGUCGACCAAAAUAAAAUAGCAGAAGUUAUCAUAUACGGAAGAAACCCUUUUGAUAAAAAAAAGAUGAGAUCCACCUUUGAAAGCAAGCAAAAAUAAAAGUUAAGAGCUAUGUGAUUUGCAACUUGUUAGAGGGUCUUUUAAAGUUGAAUAGUGUAGAUUAGUGUCAUAAAUGUAUAUUUUUGUGCAUUUUGAUUAUUAUUGCUCACUUGAAAUAAAGGCUGUCACUUAAAUCAUUAUUGAUUAUUGAUUUUAAUAAACAAAGCUGUAUGUGGAUAAUGAGGUGUGAAAUGUUAGAGACCAGAAAUUCAUCCUCCAGCUUGGUUUCUC